GUCCUCGAGGCCGAAGCGGAUCGGCGCCGGCCUCCUAAGCCGGAGCGUGCAGGUUCGAGCCCUGCCGAGGACACCA
rnacentral:tRNA from 1 species